AGGAGUGUAGUUUAUUAAAAACAUUAGGUUUGCAUCUUAAAAAAAGUCUUUGCUCACUCUCA
rnacentral:tRNA from 1 species